UACGAAGGGGGCUAGCGUUGCUCGGAAUCACUGGGCGUAAAGGGUGCGUAGGCGGGUCUUUUAAGUCAGGGGUGAAAUCCUGGAGCUCAACUCCAGAACUGCCUUUGAUACUGAAGAUCUUGAGUUCGGGAGAGGUGAGUGGAACUGCGAGUGUAGAGGUGAAAUUCGUAGAUAUUCGCAAGAACACCAGUGGCGAAGGCGAGUCCCUGGACAACUCCUGACACUGAUGCACGAAAGCUAGGGGAGCAAACAGG
rnacentral:rRNA from 1 species